UACAGAGGUCCCAAGCGUUGUUCGGAUUCAUUGGGCGUAAAGGGUGCGUAGGCGGCGCGGUAAGUCGGGUGUGAAAUCUCGGAGCUUAACUCCGAAACUGCAUUCGAUACUGCCGUGCUGGAGGACUGGAGAGGAGACUGGAAUUUACGGUGUAGCGGUGAAAUGCGUAGAUAUCGUAAGGAAGACCAGUGGCGAAGGCAGCUCGCUGGGACGUGACUGACGCUGAGACGCGAAAGCGUGGGGAGCAAACAGG
rnacentral:rRNA from 1 species